rnacentral:rRNA from 1 species
UACGUAGGCAGCGAGCGUUGUUCGGAAUUACUGGGCGUAAAGCGCGCGCAGGCGGUCUUCCAAGUCAGUGGUGAAAGCCCGGAGCUCAACUCCGGAACUGCCAUUGAAACUGUUGGACUUGAGUACGAGAGAGGUGAGUGGAAUUCCCAGUGUAGAGGUGAAAUUCGUAGAUAUUGGGAAGAACACCGGUGGCGAAGGCGGCUCACUGGCUCGUAACUGACGCUCAGGCGCGACAGCGUGGGGAUCAACAGG